UACGAAGGGUGCAAGCGUUACUCGGAAUUACUGGGCGUAAAGCGUGCGUAGGUGGUUUGUUAAGUCUGUUGUGAAAGCCCCGGGCUCAACCUGGGAAUGGCAAUGGAUACUGGCAGGCUAGAGUGCGGUAGAGGGUAGUGGAAUUCCCGGUGUAGCGGUGAAAUGCGUAGAGAUCGGGAGGAACACCAGUGGCGAAGGCGGCUACCUGGGACCAGCACUGACCACUGAGGCACGAAAGCGUGGGGAGCAAACAGG
rnacentral:rRNA from 1 species